rnacentral:tRNA from 1 species
GUUUUAAUAGUUUAAUAAAAAUAUGAAUUUUGUAAAUUCAAGAUAAUUAUAAUUUUAAAACU